AAUACGUUCCCGGACCUUGUACACACCGCCCGUCAAGCCAUGGAAGCCGGGGGUGCCUGAAGUUGGUGACCGCAAGGAGCUACCUAGGGACAAAACCGGUGACUGGGGCU
rnacentral:rRNA from 1 species